rnacentral:rRNA from 1 species
AACCUGAUCAGCCAUGCCGCGUGAGUGAAGAAGGCCUUCGGGUUGUAAAGCUCUUUCAGCCGGAACGAAAAGGUUACGGUUAAUACCCGUGAUUACUGACGGUACCGGAAGAAGAAGCACCGGCUAACUACGUGCCAGCAGCCGCGGUAAU